rnacentral:lncRNA from 1 species
AUGGAACCGCAUCACAAGGCUCGUACGUUUGGUGCUCUGACCGCCAGGCCGUACCCGGCCGCGACUGACCUGUCAGGUUUACCUGUUGGGUGGGACAUGCAAAUGAGCGCCCGGGGCACCUUGGGUAAGGGGCCCCGCGUGGAACCCAGGCCCGCGGCUUUGAAUUCUCUUGCCGUGGAGCUCAGCCCGCGGAGCAUGCCGGGAGCUACCAACGCUGCGGCCGCCUCGGACCGCGCGGCGGGGUCCAGCGCCCAGGCGAGCUGGAGACACCUUGAUAACGAGGCUCCUGCGGCACCGGGAGGGCCGGCCCGGGGUCGGCGCGACACCUUUAGAACAGAUUGGCUACCUUUGGGGCGGAGCAAGAUGGCCGAAUAGGAACAGCUCCAGUCUCCAACUCCCAGCGCGAGCAACACAGAAGACUGGUGAUUUCUGCAUUUUCAACUGAGGUACUGGGUUCAUCUCACUGGGGAGUGCCGGAUGAUCGGUGCUGGUCAGCUGCUGCAGCCCGACCAGCGAGAGCUGAAGCAGGGCGAGGCAUCGCCUCACCUGGGAAGCGCAAGGGGGAAGGGAAUCCCUUUUCCUAGCCAGGGGAACUGAGACACACAACACCUGGAAAAUCGGGUAACUCCCACCCCAAUACUGCGCUUUAAGCAAACAGGCACACCAGGAGAUCAUAUCCCACACCUGGCCGGGAGGUUCCCACACCCACGGAGCCCCCCUCAUUGCUAGCACAGCAGUCUGUGAUCUACCGGCAAGGCAGCAGCGAGGCUGGGGGAGGGGCACCCGCCAUUGCUGAGGCUUAAGUAGGUAAACAAAGCUGCUGGGAAGCUCGAACUGGGUGGAGCUCACAGCAGCUCAAGGAAACCUGCCUGUCUCUGUAGACUCCACCUCUGGGGACAGGGCACAGUAAACAAUAACAAACGCAGCGGAAACCUCUGCAGACGCAAACGACUCUGUCUGACAGCUUUGAAGAGAGCAGUGGAUCUCCCAACACGGAGGUUGAGAUCUGAGAAGGGACAGACUCCCUGCUCAAGUGCGUCCCUGACCCCUGAGUAGCCUAACUGGGAGACAUCCCCCACUAGGGGCAGUCUGACACCCCACACCUCACAGGGUGGAGUACACCCCUGAGAGGAAGCUUCCAAAGCAAGAAUCAGACAGGUACACUCGCUGUUCAGAAAUAUUCUAUCUUCUGCAGCCUCUGCUGCUGAUACCCAGGCAAACAGGGUCUGGAGUGGACCUCAAGCAAUCUCCAACAGACCUACAGCUGAGGGUCCUGACUGUUAGAAGGAAAACUAUCAAACAGGAAGGACACCUACACCAAAACCCCAUCAGUACAUCACCAUCAUCAAAGACCAG